rnacentral:rRNA from 1 species
UACGUAGGGUGCAAGCGUUGUCCGGAAUUAUUGGGCGUAAAGAGCUUGUAGGCGGUUUGUCGCGUCUGCUGUGAAAUUUCGGGGCUCAACCCCGAACUUGCAGUGGGUACGGGCAGACUAGAGUGUGGUAGGGGAGAUCGGAAUUCCUGGUGUAGCGGUGAAAUGCGCAGAUAUCAGGAGGAACACCGGUGGCGAAGGCGGAUCUCUGGGCCAUUACUGACGCUGAGGCGCGAAAGCUAGGGUAGCAAACGGG